rnacentral:rRNA from 1 species
UGAGGAAUAUUGGGCAAUGCCCGCAAGGGUGACCCAGCAACGCCGCGUGGAGGAUGAAUGUCGUAAGAUUGUAAACUCCUGUUAGAGGGGAAGAAUAGUACCGGUUGGACCGGUAUGUGACUGUACCCCCAGAGAAAGCCCCGGCUAACUACGUGCCAGCAGCCGCGGUAAUACGUAGGGGGCAAGCGUUGUCCGGAUUUACUGGGUGUAAAGGGCGCGCAGGCGGGAUAAAAAGUCAGUGGUGAAAUCCUACAGCUUAACUGUAGAACUGCCUUUGAUACUUUUAUUCUUGACUUCGGGAGAGAGAGACGGAAUUCCAGGUGUAGUGGUGAAAUACGUAGAUAUCUGGAAGAACACCAGUUGCGAAGGCGGUCUCUUGGUCCGACACUGACGCUGAGGCGCGAAAGCGUGGGGAGCAAACA